AGAGUUUGAUCCUGGCUCAGGACGAACGCUGGCGGCGCGCCUAACACAUGCAAGUCGAACGGAGCUUAGAGAGCUUGCUUUUUAAGCUUAGUGGCGAACGGGUGAGUAACGCGUGAGUAACCUGCCCUAGAGUGGGGGACAACAGUUGGAAACGACUGCUAAUACCGCAUAAGCCCACGGUGCCGCAUGACACUGAGGGAAAAGGAUUUAUUCGCUUUAGGAUGGACUCGCGUCCAAUUAGCUAGUUGGUGAGGUAACGGCCCACCAAGGCGACGAUUGGUAGCCGGACUGAGAGGUUGAACGGCCACAUUGGGACUGAGACACGGCCCAGACUCCUACGGGAGGCAGCAGUGGGGGAUAUUGCACAAUGGGGGAAACCCUGAUGCAGCGACGCCGCGUGGAGGAAGAAGGUUUUCGGAUUGUAAACUCCUGUCGUUAGGGACGAUAAUGACGGUACCUAACAAGAAAGCACCGGCUAACUACGUGCCAGCAGCCGCGGUAAAACGUAGGGUGCAAGCGUUGUCCGGAAUUACUGGGUGUAAAGGGAGCGCAGGCGGGAAGACAAGUUGGAAGUGAAAACCAUGGGCUCAACCCAUGAAUUGCUUUCAAAACUGUUUUUCUUGAGUAGUGCAGAGGUAGAUGGAAUUCCCGGUGUAGCGGUGGAAUGCGUAGAUAUCGGGAGGAACACCAGUGGCGAAGGCGGUCUACUGGGCACCAACUGACGCUGAGGCUCGAAAGCAUGGGUAGCAAACAGGAUUAGAUACCCUGGUAGUCCAUGCCGUAAACGAUGAUUACUAGGUGUUGGGGGAUUGACCCCCUCAGUGCCGCAGUUAACACAAUAAGUAAUCCACCUGGGGAGUACGACCGCAAGGUUGAAACUCAAAGGAAUUGA
rnacentral:rRNA from 1 species